ensembl:snRNA Gm23435 U1 spliceosomal RNA
AUCGUCAAUUUUUAUAGGUAGUUUAAGAUUCAUAAAAGUUUGUUUUCCCAGGGUGAGGCUUAUCCAUUGUACUCUGCAUGUGCUGACCCUGUCAUUUCCCCAAAUGCAGGAAACUCAGCUGUGUAAUGUGUGGUAGUGGAGGACUUCAUGUUCUCCC